rnacentral:rRNA from 1 species
GACGGAGGAUGCAAGCGUUGUCCGGAAUUAUUGGGCGUAAAGCGUUCGUAGGUGGUUUGACAAGUCUGGGGUUAAAGCCCGGAGCCCAACUCCGGAUCGGCCCUGGAAACUGUCAGACUUGAGUAAGGUAGGGGUUGCGGGAAUUCCCGGUGUAGCGGUGAAAUGCGUAGAUAUCGGGAAGAACACCAGCGGCGAAAGCGCGCAACUGGGCCAUUACUGACACUGAGGGACGAAAGCUAGGGGAGCGAAUGGG